rnacentral:rRNA from 1 species
UACGGAGGGUGCAAGCGUUAAUCGGAAUUACUGGGCGUAAAGCGUGCGCAGGCGGUUAUAUAAGACAGUUGUGAAAUCCCCGGGCUCAACCUGGGAAUUGCAUCUGUGACUGUAUAGCUAGAGUACGGUAGAGGGGGAUGGAAUUCCGCGUGUAGCAGUGAAAUGCGUAGAUAUGCGGAGGAACACCGAUGGCGAAGGCAAUCCCCUGGACCUGUACUGACGCUCAUGCACGAAAGCGUGGGGAGCAAACAGG